rnacentral:rRNA from 1 species
UACGUAGGGGGCGAGCGUUGUCCGGAUUCAUUGGGCGUAAAGAGCUCGUAGGCGGUUUGGUAAGUCGGGUGUGAAAACCCCAGGCUCAACCUGGGGACGCCACCUGAUACUGCUAUGACUUGAGUCUGGUAGGGGAUCACGGAAUUCCUGGUGUAGCGGUGAAAUGCGCAGAUAUCAGGAGGAACACCGGUGGCGAAGGCGGUGAUCUGGGCCAGUACUGACGCUGAGGAGCGAAAGCGUGGGUAGCAAACAGG